GUAUAAUGGUGAUGUUUGUGAUUCAGCUAGCCGUGCCAUUGUGAUAUCGUUUCCUCCUUGGACGCGUCUGUUUAGCGUGUGUGCGUGUACAUCUGUGGCCAGAAAAAGUUCCUGGCGGCACUACGCACAUUUUUUCCGCACGAACCCUACCGUUAUUACAAGCGGGAUAGCGAUACUAUUAGGAACACCAUCUAUCCAUAGGCUACACUGCGUGAACGUUUACGACGAUACUUUACCACAAUUACAACGGACUACGGCCGUAUACCAAGCGCCAAAGCUGACAUCACGACUGUGCUAGCAUCACAACGCAAGUCCAUAUGGCUGAGCAGGAGCAAAGGUCAAAGCGGAAAAUGGAACCAACAGAG